CUGCCUGCCCAGUGACUAGAAGUUAAACGGCCGCGGUAUCUUGACCGUGCGAAGGUAGCAUAAUCACUUGUCUCCUAAAUAGAGACUGGUAUGAAUGGCAAGACGGAACUUUACUGUCUCCUCCUCUUCAAUUCGAACUUCACAAUCCCGUGAAGAGGCGGGAAUUAACUCGUAAGACGAGAAGACCCUGUCGAGCUGUAGUAAAACUUAGACUAUUAUUCACCUUAAAUCUUAGCUAAUACAAUAUAAUUAAUAGAUAACCAAGGCAUAGCAGGUCAAAGAAAACUUUGAUUGGGGCAAUCCCGGAGAAAGAAAAUCCUCCGUUACUAAAAGGUUCAUACCUAACUUAACUUAAAAGAACCAUAAUUCUAAAAUCACCAAAUGAAAGCAUGAUCCACUAAUAGUGAUCAAAAGAACAAGUUACCGCAGGGAUAACAGCGUAAUCUUUUCUGAGAGUUCAUAUUGACGAAAAGGUUUGCGACCUCGAUGUUGGAUCGGGACAUCCUAAGGGUGCAGAAGCUUUUAAGGGUUGGUCUGUUCGACCAUUAAAGUC
rnacentral:rRNA from 1 species